rnacentral:rRNA from 1 species
GACGUAGGGGGCGAGCGUUGUCCGGAAUUACUGGGCGUAAAGAGCACGUAGGCGGGACUUUAAGUCAGGUGUGAAAGACCGGGGCUCAACCCCGGGGUUGCACUUGAAACUGGAGUUCUUGAGGGCAGGAGAGGGCAGUAGAAUUCCUGGUGUAGCGGUGAAAUGCGUAGAAAUCAGGAGGAAUACCAGUGGCGAAGGCGACUGCCUGGACUGACCCUGACGCUGAGGUGCGAAAGCGUGGGUAGCAAACAGGAUUAGAUACCCUGGUAGUCCACGCUGUAAACGAUGGAUACUAGGUGUGGGAGGUAUCGACCCCUUCCGUGCCGCAGCUAACGCAAUAAGUAUCCCGCCUGGGGAGUACGGUCGCAAGGCUGAA